UACGUAGGGUCCGAGCGUUUGUCCGGAAUUAUUGGGCGUAAAGGGCUCGUAGGCGGUUCGUCACGUCGGGAGUGAAAACUCGGAGCUUAACUCCGAGCCUGCUUCCGAUACGGGCAGACUAGAGGUAGGCAGGGGAGAGCGGAACUCCUGGUGUAGCGGUGGAAUGCGCAGAUAUCAGGAGGAACACCGGUGGCGAAGGCGGAUCUCUGGGCCGUAACUGACGCUGAGGAGCGAAAGCAUGGGGGAGCGAACAGG
rnacentral:rRNA from 1 species